ensembl:snoRNA small nucleolar RNA Z17
GGUGCACAUGAUGGUAAUAGCGAUCAAAGUAUGAAAAACAUGAUUCCACAUUUAAACUGCUGAUGCACC